ensembl:lncRNA
CCUGCAGGAAGCAAUCCAAGGCCUGCUGGCAGGCACAGGGAAGGACUUGAGGCAGUAAAAUGGUGCCUGUUCUGAUCACCUGUUGGGUUAGGGCUCUUAGCCCUCGACAAAAGGUGAUAUGAGACCUGCAGCCAGGCAGUAGGACAGUCCACUUGCCAAUACAGUUCCUCAUUCAAGUUUGUGUUGGCRCUCAAGUUAAAAAGUCAUCCUUUAUUUCUUCCCCCUCUUCCACCAAAAAUAAAUAGAAGAGCCCAAGUGCUCUGGGACUCCCACAGAAGCCUGGCAGGUUUGCUGACACUGAACUUGAGCUCUUACCAUGAGAAUGCAGGCCCCAGAGUGGUAUGAAGAUUAUUAUUCUAUAAAUGGAAAAUUCCACCGUGAUCCUGCAGCCUGCAUACCUCCAAGGGAUACAGACUUUUUGAGUUCUGAAGAGUGGGAACCAUCAUUCUGAGAAAAAGUUCAGCAAGGAAAGUUUAAAACUACUGUUUCUGCUCCCUCUGGGUCAGGCCCAACGAAGGAAGGCAAACAAAUGGAGACCUUCUUUCUUGCCCCACAUGGUUCUUAUGUGAUGGAAUGAAGAGAAUAGGAACUUGGAUAUGAACUUGAAUAAGAACAAAUGCCUUGCUGGGGACUUGCAGCCUGAGUGAGUGGGCAGUGGUGACAGGACAGAAAUGCCCCAGAAAGAAGUGGAAGGAACAAGUGUGUUCUGGAGUCUGGCCACGUGCUAUUUCCGGGGCUGCUCACCUUGCUUGUUGUCACCGUUGCCCACUGUCAAGCAGGCAWUUGGCCCAAAAGGAAAGUCUGAAAGUGGAAGCAAAGCAUGAAGAUGUUUGUCACGGGCACRUGCUGGGCAUAGUACCCUGGAAGCCUUUGCUGUUAGUCACCAUAGAAGGGGCAAAGUGGCAGCUGCUCCAGCUCUGGGAGUCUGGAACAAAACAGGUGGAAGUAGCCAGGGUGUGGACAUUUCUCCAGAGGACACCCUCAGACAGUCAAGGCAAGAAGACAGUUUGGAUGCAGGAUGUCAGAUUCCAGGUGCGACGGAGCUCCUGUCUUCUCGUUGCUGCUUCGUCUGCCAUGGAAGCCUGACAGCGAUGGCCUCCCUUGUCCCGGAGACUCAGCCAGAUGGCCUCUGCAGGGACCUCGCCCACCUGCCAGCAUGUCUCGGUAGCUACACUUGCCCAGGGGUUGCCAGCACCGGACACCUGGGGGGGCGUCCAGCCAGGACCUGGUGGUGCUAACGUCAUUCUCAGAAUAGCCCACCCAGGAGUCCUGUCCUCUGGGCUUCUUCACCUCUCCCUCUGCACCCACCUGCCACCCCCAGGUUCAGCAGAGUGACAGCCCUGGGGAGGAGAGAGUCAAAGCACAGCGAGGAGGUGCCUGAGCUCUGGGGCUCUCCUCUGCUUUCCACUCCCUCACCAGAUGUUCUCUGGGUCAUUCCUGUCCCAUGCUGGUUCCCUCUGCUCUCCUCCAGUCUCGGAGGAAAUCCUGCCUGGCCGUCAAGGCCAGCUCCGGCUGCUGAGGCCAUCGGCUGAUGAAGCAUGCUUUCCGAACUCCUUAAGUUUUUCCGGAUAACGCCUGUCUCAUGCCAGGUGGUCCUGGUAGGGCUGACACGGACCAAUCCAGAAUCCUCUCUCCCUGGUCACAGGGAUGGGCCAAGGCAUGGGCUCAGGCAUGGGUGACGGGACCCAACCAGGGUUAACCAGACCCUUCCCUGAGAUUGAUGAGAGAAUCUUGCAAGAGGAAAGUGUUCUUUUUUUGUCAUGUCACCUGGGAUGUUAGGAGUUUGUGACUGCCAUUGGCCAUCUUGCCUGCACUGAAAGAGCACCGUCAUGCAAUAGAAAAUCAUAUACUGUCAGAGCCCUAAGGACAACAUGGCUUGAGCCUCUGGAUCCAGCUAUUCCUGAAGCAGAAUACCCCUGGAUUUCCCAGUUAGAUGAUCCAAUAAAUCUCUUUUAAUAUGACA